rnacentral:lncRNA from 1 species
GAAACACUUGUAUGAACCUUUUCUUUGGAGUGAUCUUGUGAGGUUAUUCUCUUGGGGUAUUUAGAAUUAAUUAGAGUAUUUACUCUAAUUUUGUAUUCUUGUUGCUAUAAUGAAAUUGUUCCCCUCCGCUUGUGGACGUAGGUCACACUGACCGAACUACGUUAAAUUGGUGCCUUCUUUAUAUGCUUUAAAUACCAUUAUUAUCAGCUUGCAUUGUUUUUGUUAUUGUCAUUAUAAUAUUAUUUGGCUAAAUUCUACACUACCUGGGUUCCGAUCUUUGGUAUAUAAAACAUUGUUUUAUGUUUUUUGUAGCAAUAUUGAAGCUGAAAAGGAUGAAAAGGCAACCAAAACUCAACCAAAUAGUCAAAAGAUGCUGAAGUUCUGCGGGCGGAAUAAGACAUGCUCCUAGUUCGCGCAUAACUGAUUCGAGAGCUGAACGUCAAGUAUGAAGAUUCCACUAUUGCAGGUGCCCAAGACAAGUUCUCUACCCGUCUACCGUAUGCAAAUUAAAGUUCUGAGCAGGAAAAUUGGACCAUUGCUACCGUAAGCGAGGAAGUCUAGUUGCAACCGUGCACACAAAAAAACAUCAGAGAGGUGCAAAAUAACUUUUGCUACUGCUGUUGGUGAACUUUAGUUUCUGAGGCCACACUACUCCAGUUCCUGCCAGCUCGAUCACCAACGAACACGUACAAAAGAUCUGCAGGCGGUGCUAGCAUGCCUCGGUGCACACACAAUUCUGGCGGCC